rnacentral:rRNA from 1 species
AUGCUACCCCUCCCCCUGCGCCGCCACCUCCUCUUCAUGUACUCUCGCCGGAACCCUAGCUUCAUCCCCUUCUCCAUUGCCGCCACCGCCAUCUCCACCCUCCCAACCGACUCCGCCGCCGCCGCCGCCGCCACUCCCAUCUCCGACCGCCUCCGCCUCCUCCACUCGCUCCANNNNNNNNNNNNNNNNNNNNNNNNNNNNNNNNNNNNNNNNNNNNNNNNNNNNNNNNNNAUCGCGGCUCACCUCCUCGCCCGCGCCCGCCUCUUCCCCCAUUCCCGCAGCCUCCUCUCCCGCCUCCUCGCCCCCGGUCACCGGCCCCACCUCGCCGCCUCCCUCGUCGACCUCCUCCAUCGCGCGGCUCCCGCACUAGGGCCUCGCCGCAGCGCCCUGCCCUCCGUCGUCGACACCCUCCUCUCCCUCCUCGCCGACCGCGGCUUCCUCGACGACGCCGUUCUCGCCCUUGGCCGCGUGCGCGAGCUGCGGGUGCCCCCUAACACCCGCACCUGCAACCACAUCCUCCUCCGCCUAGCGCGAGAGCGCCGCGGCCCGCUCGUCCGGCGGCUAUUUGAGCAGGUGCCCGCCCCCAACGUGUUCACGUUCAACAUCGUGAUCGAUUUCCUGUGCAAGGAGGGGGAGUUAGCGGAGGCAAGAGCAUUGUUCUCGAGGAUGAAGGCAAUAGGUUGCCUACCAGAUGUUGUCACAUACAAUUCUCUCAUUGAUGGGUGUGGCAAAUGCGGGGAGUUGGAAGAGGUGGAGCAGCUCGUCGGGGAGAUGAGGGGGUGUGGAUGCACACCAGAUGUUGUGACAUAUAAUGCAUUAGUCAACUGCUUUUGCAAGUUUGGGAGGAUGGAAAGGGCAUACAGCUACUUUGCUGAGAUGAAGAGGGAAGGAGUGAUGGCUAAUAUAAGGACUUAUAGCACCUUUGUCGAUGCGUUCUGCAAGAAGGGGAUGGUAAGGGAGGCUAUGAAGCUGUUUGCACAAAUGAGGAUCAAGGGGAUGACACCGAAUGAGGUGACAUAUACAUGUUUGGUUGAUGGGACCUUUAAGGCCGGUAGGCUAGAUGAUGCCUUUGUUUUGAUUGAUGAAAUGGUACAGCAAGGUGUGCCAUUGAAUGUGGUCACAUAUACUGUGCAAGUUGAUGGCCUUUGCAAAGAGGGGAAGAUUGCCGAAGCGGAGGAUGUUUUUAGGCUGAUGGAGAAAGCUGGCGUCAAAGCCAAUGAGUUGUUGUACACUACACUAAUUCAUGGGCAUUUUAUGAAUAAAAAUAAAGUAAAAGAGUCAGAGGCCAUUGCCCUGCUCCACAAGAUGCAGGACUCUGGGUUCCAACUUAAUGUUGUGACAUAUUGUGCAUUGGUUGAUGGUUUGUGCAAAGCAGGAUCAGUUGACGAGGCAGUCUCACAUUUUAACAAAAUGAGAGACUUAGGAUUAGAGCCUAAUGUACAUACUUACACCGCUUUAAUUGAUGGUUUAUGCAAGAAUGGGUGCUUAACCAAGGCUGUGGCGUUGUUGGAUGAAAUGGCUGGCAAGGGUUUGUCUCUGGAUAAAGUUGUGUACACAUCUCUUAUGGAUGGGUACCUGAAGCAGGGAAAUCUUCAGGAUGCCUUUGCACUCAAGGCCGAGAUGAUCAAUAGUGGUUUGCAACUUGAUCUCUAUGGGUACACUUGUUUUGUAUGGGGAUUUUGUAAUUUAAAUAUGAUGCAAGAAGCUAGAGAAGUUCUUUCAGAAAUGAUUGGAAAUGGUAUUACUCCUGAUACGCAGAAAUUGGGGCAUAUUGAGGAGGCAGCCAGUCUUCAGAAUGAAAUGGAAAGUGUGUUACCCUCUUGUACAAUUGGUGAUGCUGCUCCUGGUUCUGAUGGUUAA